AUAAAUCUUGUUUAUCUGGGUUGACAAUAUGUGUAAAAUAGUGCACAUUUAUCUCCAGAUUCAGCAAUUGGAAGGACGUCCAACAAAAUCUCCUGAUAAUACAAGAGAACAUAAGGUGCAGCGGAGUAGAGUAGAUCACCCAUUUAUAACAACAAAACCAUGUGAAACUUUAAUAACCUUUAUAGACGUGACAUGUCUUCUCUUUUUCAAGAAAAAAAGUGACCAUGUAUUUGAGGAGAGAAACUACAAUGAAGAUCAGGGGAUACCCGGUGUUAAAGAGACAGUAACCACACUUAAAAAAAAGUUACUAACAGACCUCAAACCAUCACUCUGGAAACUGUGAAUCCCGUGGAAAGUACUUUAUUUUAUCCCAAUAAGACAGUUUCAAACAUGUGUAGAAAUUACUGCUAAUGUGUGCAAGCUGGAUGUCAACUCUUGGCACCAUAGUUGGUCGUGCAUGGUAACUAGUAAGUAGAAAUUUUUAGGUUUCAGUUGUAGAAUCAGCACUAACAGUCGCAUGUGCAAAAAUCAGAAAACAUAAUAUUCGAACAACCUCGUAUCACCGAAUGGCUUUCAAGGUGAACUAACCCAAAGAUGAUGAUGUAGAUCUUGCGGAUGGUCAUUCACCGCAGGUCCAGUACUUCAUCAUCCAUAGUCGCCACGAGCACUGGCCACGCGCACCACCAUGAAAUGAUGCGCACUACUGCCUGCCACGCUGCUAGCCCCGUAGCGUGCAAGCCGCCAUUGCCGUCGCCACCACCCUGGGGCUUGACUUUGCCCUACCCUAUUAAUCAUGUCCACACCCAGCUCCAAGAUAUUUGGGUAUGAAUGUGAUGGCGAUAUGCAUCAUGGUGAUCUCCUGCUUAUUGCUUUUAGUGAACUCGGUGGGCUUGGCAUUGGGGAUGCAAUUAUCGUUGAGCCACGUCUCAUACUGGAACAUGAUGAUCCUCAAAUUCUUUCUAUCUCGAAAUAGAUAUAUUGAUGCCAAACGAAAUUUCGCCCUUGGUUAAAACUGAUAGACAACAUCCUGUUCUUGCUCUACUUUUAAAAGAAAAUAAUUCAGAUGAAAAAAUCAGUACCAUUUGAAAUCUUAUGACAGGUACGGUCCUUCUCCCUCCCAGUUGGGGAUAACAGGCCCAUCUUUAUAGUGAACCAAAUCAUACACCCAUCUUGAUCUCGAGCUCAGCACACCACCACACCUAGUGCCACGAGCCAGUCCAGGCCGACGGAUCCGUUCCUCCUUUCACCACAUCCACAUGCACCGCACAAAGCCUGACCCAAGUAUCAAUCUAGGCGGCGGCGCAUCCGUGUGUGCGCAAGGCCGUGACCUAGGGUUUUGCGCUUGCUUCUGGUUACCAUGCCCCGGACGACAUUCUCGUCGCGACCGCGGUUGCGGUCGACUGCGAGGUGGCCCAGCCGGCGGAUACUUGUCAUCUCUCUCCUAACCCACAACCAUCCAUCCACCAUCGAGUAGGGAUUAGCCCUAGCCACCAAACAAAGCUUUGCGGUCCAGCGUGAGGAGGUGACUGCAGGAGCACCCAAGUGGAUGCGCAGCCACUGUGUAGCCCUCGACCUGCCGGAGUAGAUCCUAGUGUGGGAGAUAUUUGUCCGCCUUCCAGCCAAGGAGAUCCUCCGUUGCCGCGCAGUCUGCCGCUCCUGGCGCGGCCUCACCUCCGUCCCUGAUUUCAUCGUCGCCCACCACCGGCGCCAGCUGUCGCUACCCCCUUGUCGUGCUCAACGGCACGCCCACCACACAAGACGGCUUAUCAAUCUCCAAGCACAGCCGGCCUGUCCUCGGGUUCCAUGACUACCAUGGCUUCCAGCUGCACGCAUUUGCUACGUCUUGAGCUUGCAUUGGUUUUCCCCGAAGAGGAAGGGAUGAUGCAGCAGAGUAGCGUAAGUAUUCCCCUCGGUUUUUGAGAACCAAGGUAUCAAUCCAGUAGGAGGCACACUCAAGUCCCUCGUACCUGCACAAAACGAUAGCUACUCGCAACCAAAACGAUUAGGGGUUGUCAAUGCCUUCACGGUCACUUACGAGAGUGAGAUCUGAUAGAUAUAAUAUUUUUUGGUAUUUUUGAUAUAAAGAUGCAAAGUGAAAAGUAAAAGCAAAGUAAAAAAGCAAAGCAAGAUUAAAGUGAUGGAGAUUGAUAUGAUGAGAAUAGACCCGGGGGCCAUAGGUUUCACUAGUGGCUUCUCUCAAGAGCAUAAGUAUUCUACGGUGGGAGAACAAAUUACUGUUGAGCAAUUGACAGAAUUGAGCAUAGUUAUGCGAAUAUCUAGGCAUGAUCAUGUAUAUAGGCAUCACGUCCGUGACAACUAGACCGCAACGAUUCUACAUCUACUACUAUUACUCCACUCAUCGACCGCUAUCCGGCAUGCAUCUAGAGUAUUAAGUUAAAAACAGAGUAACGCCUUAAGCAAGAUGACAUGAUGUAGAGAGAUAAAUUCAUGCAAUAUGAAAUAAACCCCAUCUUGUUCCUCAAUGGCAACGAUGCAAUACGUGCCUUGCUGCCCCUUCUGUCACUGGGAAAGGACACCGCAAGAUAGAACCCAAAGCUAAGCACUUCUCCCAUGGCAAGAACUACCAAUCUAGUUGGCCAAACCAAACGAAUAAUUCGAAGAGACUUGCAAAGAUAACCAAUCAUACAUAAAAGAAUUCAGGGAAGAUUCAAAUAUUAUUCAUAGAUAGACUUGAUCAUAAACCCACAAUUCAUCGGUCUCAACCAACACACCGCAAAAAGAAGAUUACAUCGAAUAGAUCUCCACAAGAGAGGGGGAGAACUUUGUAUUGAGAUUCAAAGAGAGAGAAGAAGCCAUCUAGCUACUAACUAUGGACCCGAAGGUCUGAGGUAAACUACUCACACUUCAUCGGGGAGGCUAGGAUGAUGUAGAAGCCCUCCGUGAUGACGGUCCUCUUCCGGCGGAGCUCCGGAACAGGCCCCAAGAUGGGAUCUCGUGGAUACAGAAAGUUGCGGCGGUGGAAUUAGGUUUUUGGCUCCUAUUCUGAUCGUUUGGGGGUACGUGUGUAUAUAUAGGAGGAAGAAGUACGUCGGUGGAGCACCGAGGGGCCCAUGAGGCAGGGGGGCGCCCCCCACCCUCGUGACCGCCUCUUUUGUUCCUUGGAGCAGGGUCCAAGUCUCCUGGAUCACGUUCGGUGAUAAAAUCACGUUCCCGAAGGUUUUAUUCCAUUUGGACUCCGGUUGAUAUUCCGUUUCUUCGAAACACUAAAAUAGGCAAAAAAAACAACAAUUCUGGGUUGGGCCUCCGGUUAAUAGGUUAGUCCCAAAAGUAAUAUAAAAGUGGAAAAUAAAGCCCAAUAUAGUCCAAAACAGUAGAUAAUAUAGCAUGGAGCAAUCAAAAAUUAGAGAUAUGUUGGAGACAUAUCAGGCAUCCCCAAGCUUAAUUCCUGCUCGUCCUCGAGUAGGUAAAUGAUAAAAAGAGAAUUUUUGAUGUGGAGUGCUACUUGGCAUAAUUUCAAUGCAAAUCUUCUUAAUUGUGAUAUGAAUAUUCAGAUUCGAAAGAUUCAAGACAAAAGUUCAUAUUGACAUAAAAAUAAUAAUACUUCAAGCAUACUAACAAAGCAAUUAUGUCUUCUCAAAAUAACAUGGCCAAAGAAAGUUAUCCCUACAAAAUCAUAUAGUCUGGCUAUGCUCUAUCUUCACCACACAAAGUAUUUAUAUCAUGCACAACCCCGAUGACAAGCCAAGCAAUUGUUUCAUACUCUAACUUUUUCAAAACUUUUUCAAUCUUCACGCAAUACAUGAGCGUGAGCCAUGGAUAUAGCACUAUAGGUGGAAUAGAAUGGUGGUUGUGGAGAAGACAAAAAGGAGAAGAUAGUCUCACAUCAACUAGGCGUAUCAACGGGCUAUGGAGAUGCCCAUCAAUAGAUAUCAAUGUGAGUGAGUAUGAAUUGCCAUGCAACGUAUGCACUAGAGCUAUAAGUAUAUGAAAGCUCAAAAAGAAACUAAGUGGGUGUGCAUCCAACUUGCUUGCUCAUGAAGACCUAGGGCAAUUUGAGGAAGCCCAUCAUUGGAAUAUACAAGCCAAGUUCUAUAAUGUAAAAUUCCCACUAGUAUAUGAAAGUGAUAACAUGAGAGACUCUCUACUAUGAAGAUCAUGGUGCUACUUUGAAGCACAAGUGUGGUAAGAGAAUAGUAACAUUGUCCCUUCUCUCUUUUCCCUCAUUUUUUUAUAUUUUUUUAUUUGGGCCUUUUCUCUUUUUUUUAUUUUAUGGCCUCUUUUUAUUUGGGCUUCUUUGGCCUCUUUUAUUUAUUUUUCGUCCGGAGUCUCAUCCCGACUUAUGGGGGAAUCAUAGUCAACAUCGUUUUUCCUCACUUGGGACAAUGCUCUAAUAAUGAUGAUCAUCACACUUUUAUUUUUCUUACAACUCAAUACUUAGAACAAAAUAUGACUCUAUAUGAAUGCCUCCGACGGUGUACCGGGAUAUGCAAUAUGACAAUGAUGGAGUGUGUCAUGAUGAACUAGAUGGUGGAAAGUUGCAUGGCAAUAUAUCUCGGAAUGGCUAUGGAAAUGCCAUAAUAGGUAGGUAUGGUGGCUGUUUUGAGGAAGGUAUAUGGUAGGUGUAUGAUACCGGCGAAAGGUGCGCGGUAUUAGAGAGGCUAGCAAAGGUGGAAGGGUGAGAGUGCGUAUAAUCCAUGGACUCAACAUUAGUCAUAAAGAACUCAUAUACUUAUUGCAAAAAUCUCGAAGUUAUCAAAGCAAAGUAUCACGUGCAUGCUCCUAGGGGGAUAGAUUGGUAGGAAAAGACCAUCGCUCGUCCCCGACCGCCACUCAUGAGGAAGACAAUCAAUAAAUAAAACAUGCUCCAACUUCAUCACAUAACGGUUCACCAUACGUGCAUGCUACGGGAAUCACAAACUUUAACACAAGUAUUCUUUAAAUUCACAACUACUCAACUAGCAUGACUUUAAUAUUAUCACCUCCAUAUCUCAAAACAAUUAUCAUGCUUCAAUCUUUUCUUAGUAUUCAACACACUCAAAAGAAAGUUUCACAAAUCUUGAAUACCAAGCAUAUUAUUAUUAAGCAAAUUACCAUGCUAUUAAGAGACUCUCAAAAUAAUUUAAGUGAAGCAUGACAGAUCAAUAGUUUCUUUAAAACAAAUCCACCACCGUGCUCUAAAAGAUCUAAGUGAAGCACAUAGAGCAAAAUUAUAAUGCUCAAAAGAUAUAAGUGAAGCACAUAGAGCAAAACUACUUAGCUCAAAAGAUAUAAGUGAAGCACAUACAGUAUUCUAUCAAAUUUUAAUUCAUGUAUGGCUCUAUCAAAAGGUGUGUACAGAAAGGAUGAUUGUGGUAUACUAAGACACAAAGACACAAAUAAUACAAGACGCUCCCAGCAAAACACAUAUCAUGUUGGUGAAUAAAAAUAUAGCUCCAAGUAAUUACCGAUGAAAGUGGACGAAAGAGGGGAUGCCUCCCGGGGCAUCCCCAAGCUUUGACUUCUUGGUGUCCUUGGAUUCUCUUGGGGGUGCCAUGAGAAUCCCCAAGCUUAGGCUCUUGCCAUUCCUUGUUCCAUGAUCCAUCAAAAGAAUUCACCCAAAACUUGAAAACUUCACAACACAAAACUCAAAAUAGAAAACUCGUGAGCUCCGUUAGCGAAAGAAAACAAAAGACCACUUCAAGGUACUGUAAUGAACUCAUUCUUUAUUUAUAUUGGUGUUAAACCUACUGUAUUCCAACUUCUCUAUGGAUUAUAAACUAUUUUACUAGCCAUAGAUUCAUCAAAAUAAGCAAACAACACACGAAAAACAGAAUCUGUCAAAAACAGAACAGUCUGUAGUAAUUUGUAGCUAGCGCAAGAUCUGGAACCCCAAAAAUUCUAAAAUAAAUUGCUGGAUGUGGGAAUCUAUCUAUUAAUCAUCUGCAAAAAGAAUUAACUAAAUAGCACUCUUCAAAUAAAAAUUACAGCAGUUCUCGUGAGCGCUAAAGUUUCUGUUUUUUUACAGCAAGUUCAACAAGACUUUCCCCAAGUCUUCCCAACAGUUCUACUUGGCACAAACACUAAUUAAACACAAAAAAACACAACCAAAACAGAGGCUAAAUAAUUUAUUUAUUACUAAGCAGGAGAAAAAAGCAAGGAAUAAAAAUAAAAUUGGGUUGCCUCCCAACAAGCGCUAUCGUUUAACGCCCCUAGCUAGGCAUAAAAGCGAGGAUAGAUCUAGGUAUUGCCAUCUUUGGCUUUAGAGAAAAAGAGAGCAAACUUGUUAUCUAUGGAAUUAAUCUUUCUAUUUUGACAGAGUACAUGUCCAUUAAUGGUAGAAGAUAGAUUAAGAAUGUUGCGGAAAUUGGCAUCUAGGCUAGCUUUUAUCUCUUUAAUAGAUUCGUUUUGGUAAGAAAGCAAGAGAGAUGUGAUUUUAGUUUUCUUAUUAAUGGGGUGCCCAAAUAUAGUUUUCAUCCUCUCAUAGGUAUCUAUGGGGUCCCCUUCAAGAAAAACCCCCUCGAAAAUAGAAUCUAAAACUUGUUUGAACGAAGCGGGUAGCCCAACAUAAAAGCUUUUUAAGUAAACCUCAAUUUGAUAUUGGGGUACAUAGCUAGCCCGGAUCCUUAACAGCCUAUCCCAAGCAUCUUUCAAAGAUUCAUCAAGUAAAUAACAAAAAAUUCUAGAAUCAUCUUCAUCAAAAUUACUAAGGUUCUCAUUGAUAACUCCGGCAAGUUGUUCUAUAGCAUUCCGAUUUAUGAGUUUAGAUAAGAUAGCAGGAUUGUCUAAAGCACUAGAACUUGGGAGAGAAUCCCCAACUCUUUUUGGUUCUGACAUGGCGAGGGAAAAGAGGCAAACAGAGAGGGAGGAUAGAGAGAGAGGGCGAAUAAAACAGCAAGGGUGAAGUGGGGGAGAGGAAAACGAGAGGCAAAUGGCAAAUAAUGUAAUGCGAGAGAUAGGGAUUGUGAUGGGUACUUGGUAUGUUGACUUUUUGCGUAGACUCCCCGGCAACGGCGCCAGAAAUCCUUCUUACUACGUCUUGAGCUUGUGUUGGUUUUCCCCGAAGAGGAAGGGAUGAUGCAGCAGAGUAGCGUAAGUAUUCCCCUCGGUUUUUGAGAACCAAUGUAUCAAUCCAGUAGGAGGCACGCUCAAGUCCCUCAUACCUGCACAAAACGAUAGCUACUCGCAACCAACGCGGUUAGGGGUUGUCAAUCCCUUCACGGUCACUUACGAGAGUGAGAUCUGAUAGAUAUAAUAUUUUUGGUAUUUUCGAUAUAAAGAUGCAAAGUGAAAAGUAAAAGCAAAGUAAAAAAGCAAAGCAAGAUUAAAGUGAUGGAGAUUGAUAUGAUGAGAAUAGACCCAGGGGCCAUAGGUUUCACUAGUGGCUUCUCUCAAGAGCAUAAGUAUUCUAUGGUGGAAGAACAAAUUACUGUUGAGCAAUUGACAGAAUUGAGCAUAGUUAUGUGAAUAUCUAGGCAUGAUCAUGUAUAUAGGCAUCACGUCCGUGACAAGUAGACCGAAACGAUUCUACAUCUACUACUAUUACUCCACUCAUCGACCGCUAUCCGGCAUGCAUCUAGAGUAUUAAGUUAAAAACAGAGUAACGCCUUAAGCAAGAUGACAUGAUGUAGAGAGAUAAAUUCAUGCAAUAUGAAAUAAACCCCAUCUUGUUAUCCUCAAUGGCAACGAUGCAAUAUGUGCCUUGCUGCCCCUUCUGUCACUGGGAAAGGACACCGCAAGAUCGAACCCAAAGCUAAGCACUUCUCCCAUGGCAAGAACUACCAAUCUAGUUGGCCAAACCAAACGAAUAAUUCGAAGAGACUUGCAAAGAUAACCAAUCAUACAUAAAAGAAUUCAGGGAAGAUUCAAAUAUUAUUCAUUGAUAGACUUGAUCAUAAACCCACAAUUCAUCGGUCUCAACCAACACACCGCAAAAAGAAUAUUACAUCGAAUAGAUCUCCACAAGAGAGGGGGAGAACUUUGUAUUGAGAUUCAAAGAGAGAGAAGAAGCCAUCUAGCUACUAACUAUGGACCCGAAGGUCUGAGGUAAACUACUCACACUUCAUCGGGGAGGCUAGGAUGAUGUAGAAGCCCUUCGUGAUGACGGCCCUCUUCCGAUGGAGCUCCGGAACAGGCCCCAAGAUGGGAUCUCGUGGAUACAGAAAGUUGCGGCGGUGGAAUUAGGUUUUUGGCUCCUAUUCUGAUCGUUUGGGGGUACGUGUGUAUAUAUAGGAGGAAGAAGUACGUCGGUGGAGCACCGAGGGGCCCAUGAGGCAGGGGGCGCCCCCCACGCUCGUGACCGCCUCUUUUGUUCCUUGGAGCAGGGUCCAAGUCUCCUGGAUCACGUUCGGUGAUAAAAUCACGUUCCUGAAGGUUUUAUUCCGUUUGGACUCCGGUUGAUAUUCCGUUUCUUCGAAACACUAAAAUAGGCAAAAAAACAACAAUUCUGGGCUGGGCCUUCGGUUAAUAGGUUAGUCCCAAAAGUAAUAUAAAAGUGGAAAGUAAAGCGCAAUAUAGUCCAAAACAGUAGAUAAUAUAGCAUGGAGCAAUCAAAAAUUAGAGAUACGUUGGAGACGUAUCAGGCAUCCCCAAGCUUAAUUCCUGCUCGUCCUCGAGUAGGUAAAUGAUAAAAAGAGAAUUUUUGAUGCGGAGUGCUACUUGGCAUAAUUUCAAUGCAAAUCUUCUUAAUUGUGAUAUGAAUAUUCAGAUUUGAAAGAUUCAAGACAAAAGUUCAUAUUGACAUAAAAAUAAUAAUACUUCAAGCAUACUAACAAAGCAAUUAUGUCUUCUCAAAAUAACAUGGCCAAAGAAAGUUAUCCCUACAAAAUCAUAUAGUCUGGCUAUGCUCUAUCUUCACCACGCAAAGUAUUUAAAUCAUGCACAACCCCGAUGACAAGCCAAGCAAUUGUUUCAUACUCUUAACUUUUUCAAAACUUUUUCAAUCUUCACGCAAUACAUGAGCGUGAGCCAUGGAUAUAGCACUAUAGGUGGAAUAGAAUGGUGGUUGUGGAGAAGACAAAAAGGAGAAGAUAGUCUCACAUCAACUAGGCGUAUCAACGGGCUAUGGAGAUGCCCAUCAAUAGAUAUCAAUGUGAGUGAGUAGGAAUUGCCAUGCAACGGAUGCACUAGAGCUAUAAGUAUAUGAAAGCUCAAAAAGAAACUAAGUGGGUGUGCAUCCAACUUGCUUGCUUAUGAAGACCUAGGGCAAUUUGAGGAAGCCCAUCAUUGGAAUAUACAAGCCAAGUUCUAUAAUGUAAAAUUCCCACUAGUAUAUGAAAGUGAUAACAUGAGAGACUCUCUACUAUGAAGAUCAUGGUGCUACUUUGAAGCACAAGUGUGGUAAGAGAAUAGUAACGUUGUCCCUUCUCUCUUUUCCCUCAUUUUUUUAUAUUUUUUUAUUUGGGCCUUUUCUCUUUUUUUUUAUUUUAUGGCCUCUUUUUAUUUGGGCUUCUUUGGCCUCUUUUAUUUAUUUUUCGUCCGGAGUCUCAUCCCGACUUAUGGGGGAAUCAUACUCUCCAUCGUUCUUUCCUCACUUGGGACAAUGCUCUAAUAAUGAUGAUCAUCACACUUUUAUUUUUCUUAGAACUCAAUACUUAGAACAAAAUAUGACUCUAUAUGAAUGCCUCCGGCGGUGUACCAGGAUAUGCAAUAUGACAAUGAUGGAGUGUGUCAUGAUGAACAAGAUGGUAGAAAGUUGCAUGGCAAUAUAUCUCGGAAUGGCUAUGGAAAUGCCAUAAUAGGUAGGAUGGUGGCUGUUUUGAGGAAGGUAUAUGGUAGGUGUAUGAUACCGGUGAAAGGUGCACGGUAUUAGAGAGGCUAGCAAAGGUGGAAGGGUGAGAGUGUGUAUAAUCCAUGGACUCAACAUUAGUCGUAAAGAACUCAUAUACUUAUUGCAAAAAUCUCGAAGUUAUCAAAGCAAAGUAUCACGCGCAUGCUCCUAGGGGGGUAUAUUGGUAGGAAAAGACCAUCGCUCGUCCCCGACCGCCAUUCAUAAGGAAGACAAUCAAUAAAUAAAACAUGCUCCGACUUCAUCACAUAACGGUUCACCAUACGUGCAUGCUACGAGAAUCACAAACUUUAACACAAGUAUUCUUUAAAUUCACAACUACUCAACUAGCAUGACUUUAAUAUUAUCACCUCCAUAUCUCAAAACAAUUAUCAUGCUUCAAUCUUUUCUUAGUAUUCAACACACUCAAAAGAAAGUUUCACAAAUCUUGAAUACCAAGCAUAUUAUUAUUAAGCAAAUUACCAUGCUAUUAAGAGACUCUCAAAAUAAUUUAAGUAAAGCAUGAGAGAUCAAUAGUUUCUUUAAAACAAAUCCACCAUCGUGCUCUAAAAGAUCUAAGUGAAGCACAUAGAGCAAAAUUAUAACGCUCAAAAGAUAUAAGUGAAGCACAUAGAGCAAAACUACUUAGCUCAAAAGAUAUAAGUGAAGCACAUACAGUAUUCUAUCAAAUUUUAAUUCAUGUAUGGCUCUCUCAAAAGGUGUGUACAGCAAGGAUGAUUGUGGUAUACUAAGACACAAAGACACAAAUAAUACAAGACACUCCAAGCAAAACACAUAUCAUGUUGGUGAAUAAAAAUAUAGCUCCAAGUAAAUUACCGAUGGAAGUGGACGAAAGAGGGGAUGCCUCCCGGGGCAUCCCCAAGCUUUGACUUCUUGGUGUCCUUGGAUUAUCUUGGGGGUGCCAUGGGAAUCCCCAAGCUUAGGCUCUUGCCACUCCUUGUUCCAUGAUCCAUCAAAAGAAUUCACCCAAAAUUUGAAAACUUCACAACACAAAACUCAAAAUAGAAAACUCGUGAGCUCCGUUAGCGAAAGAAAACAAAAGACUACUUCAAGGUACUAUAAUGAACUCAUUUUUUAUUUAUAUUGGUGUUAAACCUACUGUAUUCCAACUUCUCUAUGGACUAUAAACUAUUUUACUAGCCAUAGAUUCAUCAAAAUAAGCAAACAACACACGAAAAACAGAAUCUGUCAAAAACAGAACAGUUUGUAGUAAUCUGUAGCUAGCGCAAGAUCUGGAACCCCAAAAAUUCUAAAAUAAAUUUCUGGACAUGAGAAUCUAUCUAUUAAUCAUCUGCAAAAAGAAUUAACUAAAUAUCACUCUUCAAAUAAAAAUGACAGCAGUUCUCGUGAGUGCUAAAGUUUCUAUUUUUUACAGGAAGUUCAACAAGACUUUCCCCAAGUCUUCCCAACAGUUCUACUUGGCACAAACAGUAAUUAAACUCAAAGAAACACAACCAAAACAGAGGCUAAAUAAUUUAUUUAUUACUAAGAAGGAGCAAAAAGCAAGGAAUAAAAAUAAAAUUGGGUUGCCUCCCAACAAGCGCUAUCGUUUAACGCCCCUAGCUAGGCAUAAAAGUGAGGAUAGAUCUAGGUAUUGCCAUCUUUGGCUUUAGAGAAAAAGAGAGCAAACUUGUUAUCUAUGUAAUUAAUCUUUCUAUUUUGACAGAGUACAUGUCCAUUAAUGGUAGAAGAAAGAUUAAGAAUGUUGCGGAAAUUGGCAUCUAGGCUAGCUUUUAUCUCUUUAAUAGAUUCGUUUUGGUAAGAAAGCAAGAGAGAUGUGAUUUCAGUUUUCUCAUUAAUGGGGUGCCCAAAUAUAGUUUUCAUCCUCUCCUAGGUAUCUAUGGGGUCCCCUUCAAGAAAACCCCCCUCGAAAAUAGAAUCUAAAACUUGUUUGAACGAAGCGGGUAGCCCAACAUAAAAGCUUUUUAAGUAAACCUCAAUCUGAUAUUGGGGUACAUAGCUAGCCCGGAUCCUUAACAACCUAUCCCAAGCAUCUUUCAAAGAUUUAUCAAGUAAAUAACGAAAAAUUCUAGAAUCAUCUUCAUCAAAAUUACUAACAUUCUCACUGAUAACUCCGGCAAGUUGUUCUAUAGCAUUUCAAUUUAUGAGUUUAGAUAAGAUAGCAGGAUUGUCUGAAGCACUAGAACUUGGGAGAGAACCCCCAACUCUUUUUGGUUCUGACAUGGCGAGGGAAAAGAGGCAAACAGAGAGGGAGGAUAGAGAGAGAGGGCGAAUAAAAUGGCAAGGGUGAAGUGGGGGAGAGGAAAACGAGAGGCAAAUGGCAAAUAAUGUAAUGCGAGAGAUAGGGAUUGUGAUGGGUACUUGGUAUGUUGACUUUUUGGGUAGACUCCCCGGCAACGGCGCCAAAAAUCCUGCUUGCUACGUCUUGAGCUUGCGUUGGUUUUCCCCGAAGAGGAAGGGAUGAUGCAGUAGAGUAGCGUAAGUAUUUCCCUCAGUUUUUGAGAACAAGGUGUCAAUCCAGUAGGAGGCCACGCUCAAGUCCCUCGUACCUGCACAAAACGAUAGCUACUCCCAACCAACGCGAUUAGGGGUUGUCAAUCCCUUCACGGUCACUUACGAGAGUGAGAUCUGAUAGAUAUAAUAUUUUUGGUAUUUUUGAUAUAAAGAUGCAAAGUGAAAAGUAAAAGAAAAGUAAAAAAGCAAAGCAAGAUUAAAGUGAUGGAGAUUGAUAUGAUGAGAAUAGACCCGAGGGUCAUAGGUUUCACUGGUGGCUUCUCUCAAGAGCAUAAGUAUUCUACGGUGGGUGAACAAAUUACUGUUGAGCAAUUGACAGAAUUGAGCAUAGUUAUGCGAAUAUCUAGGCAUGAUCAUGUAUAUAGGCAUCACGUCCGUGACAAGUAGACGGCUGCAUCUACUACUAUUACUCCACUCAUCGACCGCUAUCCAGCAUGCAUCUAGAGUAUUAAGUUAAAAACAGAGUAACGCCUUAAGGAAGAUGACAUGAUGUACAGAGAUAAAUUAAUGCAAUAUGAAAUAAACCCCAUCUUGUUAUCCUCGAUGGCAACGAUGCAAUACGUGCCUUGCUGCCCCUUCUGUCACUGGGAAAGGACACCGCAAGAUCGAACCCAAAGCUAAGCACUUCUCCCAUGGCAAGAACUACCAAUCUAGUUGGCCAAACCAAACGAAUAAUUCGAAGAGACUUGCAAAGAUAACCAAUCAUACAUAAAGGAAUUCAGAGAAGAUUCAAAUAUUAUUCAUAGAUAGACUUGAUCAUAAACCCACAAUUCAUCGGUCUCAACAAACACACCGCAAAAAGAAGAUUACAUCGAAUAGAUCUCCACAAGAGAGGUGGAGAACUUUGUAUUGAGAUUCAAAGAGAGAGAAGAAGCCAUCUAGCUACUAACUAUGGAUCCGAAGGCCUGAGGUAAACUACUCCCACUUCAUCGGAGAGGCUAGGAUGAUGUAGAAGCCCUCCGUGAUGACGGCCCUCUUCCGGCGGAGCUCCGGAACAGGCCCCAAGAUGGGAUCUCGUGGAUACAGAAAAUUUCAGCGGUGGAAUUAGGUUUUUGGCUCCUGUUCUGAUCGUUUGGGGGUACGUGUGUAUAUAUAGGAGGAAGAAGUACGUCGGUGGAGCACCGAGGGGUCCAUGAGGCAGGGGGCGCGCCCCCCACCCUCGUGACCGCCUCUUUUGUUCCUUGGAGCAGGGUCCAAGUCUCCUGGAUCACGUUCGGUGAUAAAAUCACGUUCCCGAAGGUUUUAUUCCGUUUGGACUCCGGUUGAUUUUCCGUUUCUUCGAAACACUGAAAUAGGCAAAAAAAACAGCAAUUCUGGGCUGGGCCUCCGGUUAAUAGGUUAGUCCCGAAAGUAAUAUAGAAGUGGAAAAUAAAGCCCAAUAUAGUCUAAAACAAUAGAUAAUAUAGCAUGGAGAAAUCAAAAAUUAGAGAUACGUUGGAGACGUAUCAGGCAUCCUGUGACGGCCUCCUCCUCCUCAAUCCCCCCCCCAAUGACCGCUUCAGCAUCUGUAACCCGGCCACGCGUCAGUGCGCUCCACUUCCAGGCCUCCCCAACAGUAGUCUCAUCAACAUCGCCGCGAUGUACCUGCACUGCCCGUCCCGCGAGUACCGCAUCUUGUAUUGGGAACUGAUACACCAAGCUACCUACUAUGUCAUUAUGGUAGGACGAAGGGGCUCGCAGACGUGCAUUGGAGUUCCUUCAGAUACCCCUGCCAUCGAGAAAGCUAUGUUGGCCGCACGCACAAUUGAUCCUACUAAUUUGGCCCCACCCAUCAAGUUUCGUAGCUGCCUUCAUGGGAUCAUGCUUGGGUUCACCAUGAUGCUGGCAUAGUCGUUUUCAAUACGUUGCCAGAGUCAUUCAGAUUCAUGCGUUGCCCGGCUGGUGCUACCAGCUUCUGCACUCGCUUUAGCGACAUGGAAGAUUCGAUUGGCUUCAGCUGCUUUGACGAUAGAAGGACAGUUGCCAGAAUCUGGGUGUUGUAGGACUACGAGAAAGAGUCGUGGUCAUUCAAGUAUCAUGUUAAAUUCCCGGUAGAGAGCUUAUGUAACCUCGCAGAUACAGAACAUAUGGUUUUGUCCCAUGAGGGAGAUGUGUUGGUCUACAAUAAAUCCGCACGUCACAUGUUCCAAUGCGACAACAACGACAAGUUGCUACAGGAAUUCCGAUGGAAAUCAUGGGCUUUGGACGUUAUUGGACUUGGACAUUGUUUUAAAGAAAGCCUCAUCAAGCAUGAAUUUUUCCCGAGGCGAGUUGUUGGACAAGAAAGAUUUUUCCAAAGUCUCUAAGCCUUUAAGGUACCAUGAUAAUAUGAUUGUUGUCCCUAUAUAUUUCCCAUCUUUUAUAGUUUUUACAGUAGUAAUUAGAUAUAUAUGCCUUUAAGUGCAGAAAGAACACUAUGGAAGAAUAUAUAUAUGAGUUUUCCCAACUAGAUAUAGUUUUUACUAUAUGAGUUCUCCAUACAAUCUCUAUUUUUCAUUUGAGUCAACACUUUUAGAAUAUUGGUUACACAGGAAGUAUCCACUAAUAACUUCUAUCUCAGUUUUGGUGCUAACACUACCACCAUUUCCUCUUUUCCCCCAAAUAUAAACCCUUUUCAUUCACUUAUUGCAUGUCUAGCAUCUAGUGCUGCUAUUCUGAACUCUGAAGCCUAUGUUAUCAUUUCCAAGUAAAUUGUAUAUAUGUUUCCCAACAGAAUUUCCCAUGGCUUAUUGUUUGUUUGCGUUAUCCUUUUAGAUGCAAUUCAACGUCUCUAACCAACACUCCAUGACCAAAAUAUUCUUAGGUAUUGCAAUUUCUAGGUGAAAAUCAGUCAAUUGUUUUAUAUGGCAUGAACUAACUACUGUGCGCCUCUGCCAGUGACAUAGUUGAAAAGUUCUAGUGUCCCAUACUGGAGUUCACAGAAUCUAAUGCGUACUCCCUCUGUAAACUGGGAGUACUUUCUUGUUCUAUUUGCUAGGUUAUGAAUGGACAUAACAGUUAAGUGGUUUCCUAGAGAGUAUCACUCCCAAGCUGUAAUGGAUAGUGAAGUGAUAGUAGAGGUGUAAACUAAUUCACUGGCUCUGAUUCGACGAUCGAUUGAUGUAUUCAGCUCUUAAGUGCAGAACAUGUGACAUCAUAAUUUGGAAUAUGCUGAGAAGUUGAGGCCUUUAGACAAAACUUACCAAUUCAAUGACUACUUUGUUGAUAAGUAACUAGCAAACAUGCCCGUGCGUUGCAACGGGAGAGAAGAUUCAAUUAUGCUCACUAAACUGAAUAUUUUGGUAUAAGCAUCUGGUCUCACCCUGAUUUUGGUUGUAUCCCAAUAGAAUAAUGGGUCUCACUCCAAUAGUAGUGUCCUUUUCCCAUUACACAACAAAUCCCCUCAAAACAAAAGUAAAACACACCAAUUUCGCAAUCGCCUUUAUGUUUGAUCUUGUAUAGAUGCGCUAGUAUUUCUUGAAGAUGUCACUGAAGCACAAAGUCACAUCUCACCAUAUCUGAAAAUUCAGAGUUGUACAUCCAAACCAAUAGAGCACUGCUCACAGUGGAGAUUCUUUUUCCUUGAGUCGGCAAAUUCAGAAAUGACAUAGAAUUGACUGAACCCAUAAGGAAAAAUGAGUCGGUCCUAGUAUUUAUUCAUAUAAGGUCGGUCUUGCCUAAGUAUUUAUAUCCAUAUGCAAAAUGGAGUGCAGAGAUGAAAUCCUAGAACAGAACUACAUGCGCACAUGAGGACGGACGUGAACAAGACUUAAUUUGUUUGUUGUUCAUCCACAUAAAACAUACAUAGAUCUAGGUCAUCAUCUCAGUUGAGAAUGUGAUGUGAAUGUAAGUUUCAGGGAGGCUGGGCUAACCUUCACAUGAGUUCUUAUUAAGAUGUUAGGGUGACACAGGGAAGAAACGCUUCGCGGCUCCAUGCCACCACAAAAACUCAGGGAUCUCAUAAAUCUUGUUUAUCUGGGUUGACAAUAUGUGUAAAACAGUGCACAUUUAUCUCUAGAUUCAGCAAUUGGAAGGACGUCCAACAAAAUCUCCUGAUAAUACAAGAGCACAUAAGGUGCAGCGGAGUAGUGUAGAUCACCCAUUUAUAAAAACAAAACCAUGUCAAACUUUAAUAACAUUUAUAGACGUGACAUGUCUUCUCUUUUUCAAGAAAAAAAGUGACCAUGUCUUCGAGGAGAGCAACUAAAAUGAAGAUCAGGGGAUACCCGAUGUUAAAGAGACAAUAACCACACUUAAGAAAAAGUUACUAACAGACCUCAAACCAUCACUCUGGAAAAUGUGAAUCCCGUGGAAAAUACUUUAUUUUAUCCCAAUAAGACAAUUUCAAAUGUGUGUAGAAAUUACUGCUAAUGUGUGCAAGCUGGAUGUCAACUCUUGGCACCAUAGUUGGUCGUGCAUGGUAACUGGUAAGUAGAAAUUUUUAGGUUUCAGUUGUAGCAUUAGCACUAACAGUCCCAUGUGCAAAAAUCAGAAAACAUAAUAUUCGAACAACCUCGUAUCACCGAAUGGCUUUCAAGGUGAACUGACCCAAAGAUGAUGAUGUAGAUCUUGCGGAUGGUCAUUCACCGCAGGUCCAGUACUUCAUCAUCCACAGUCGCCACGAGCACUGGCCACGCACACCACCUUGAAAUGCCGCGCACUAUUGCCUGCCACGCUGCUAGCCCCGUAGCGUGUAGGCCACCAUUGUCGUCACCACCACCCUGGGGCUUGACUUUGCCCUGCCCUGUUAAUCAUGUCCACACCUCAGCUCCCAGAUAUUUGGGUCUGAAUGUGAUGGCGAUAUGCGUCAUGGUGAUCUCCUGCUUAUUGCUUUUAGUGAACUCGGUGGGCUUGGCAUUGGGGAUGCAAUUAUCGUUGAGCCACGUCUC
rnacentral:lncRNA from 1 species